rnacentral:rRNA from 1 species
UACGCAGGAGGCAAGCGUUGUUCGGCAUUACUGGGCGUAAAGGGCGUGUAGACGGGGAUGCAAGUCAGAUGUGAAAUUCCAGGGCUCAACCCUGGCGCUGCAUCUGAAACUGUGUCUCUUGAGUGCUGGAGAGGAAAGCGGAAUUCCUAGUGUAGCGGUGAAAUGCGUAGAUAUUAGGAGGAACACCAGUGGCGAAGGCGCAUGUCGGGACAGUAACUGACGUUGAGGCGCGAAAACGUGGGGAGCAAAUAGG